AGAUUUGCACAGUGGCAGUAUCGUAGCCAAUGAGGUUUAUCCAAGGCGCAAUUAUUGCUAAUUGAAAAGUUUUCUUUCCAUCUAAAUAAGUUGAGAGAUUAGCAAUGGACAUUUGCUGACCAUAGUAAGGUUUA
rnacentral:snRNA from 1 species